CGCUGUGUGUCCCUUCCAUUUAUGGCAAGUUGGCUGAUUUUCCAUUUACAUUAGUUAUUUAAACUCUCCUUUAAAAUAAAUAAAGGGCCGGCCCCGUGGC